GGAUUUUUGUUGUUGUUGUUUUUGUCAGCUCUGUCGAUGACAGGAGCAAACUAAAAAUCUGCAGCAUUAGAAGUUCUGCGUAUCCUAGAAAUCCAGAAAAAAUGUCUUUCCUCUAAGGCUAUCAAGUAUGAAUGACUUACUGAAGCCAUGGAGUUGCUGGGGAUCAAAUCUCUGUAGAUAUCCACAUCUAUCACAGCUGACAAAGACUACAAGGCAAGUAGUCAUGAAAGAUACAAGGAUGACUUCUCUAGUCACUUUGCAGAAGCUUACGUGGAUGAAACCUGCAGAUUCACAUCGCAGAAUCACACGGAACAGGGGAGGUAUGAAGGACUCUCUGGAGAUCAUAGAAUUGUUUGAGUUGGAAAAAACUUUUAAAGAUCAUCUAGUCCAACUCCCAGUUCAAACUAGGGCAUGUUGACCAAGAAUGUGCAUCAUGAGGUUUUGAAUACCUCCAAGGAUGGAGACUACAGACUGUUUGGGUUUCCUUGAUGCAAACUUCUGGAGAGGCCAAAAUCUGUUCUGCUAAAGACCAGGGAUGAAGACCAACUCCCCCCGUCAGCUCCUCAAUCACUUGUGUCAGGAAGUUGUCAGCAACGCACUCCAGAAACCUCCUAAACUGCUGGUGCCCUGCUGUUUUGUCACCCCAGCAGCUUUAGGGUAGAUAAUUAUCAAUUCAACUGUGGAGAAAAACAGUUGUAGGAACACCUGGAAAAAAUUAGAUUGGUCAGCUAAGAUGAAAUGCUUCAAAAGAUUUAAGGAAACCCAAUGAACUGAUACUGAACCAUGGGUAAUUAUUUCAAGGAAAUCUUGAACUGCAAAUAGAAUUUGAAAUGCAGGUCAGGAUUAUUUUUACGGAAAACGUAAAGUAGUGAAGAUGGUGGUAAUCUUCAAGCACCAUUUAUUUUAGUUGUCACUAAAAUGCUAUGGAUUGCAUAUGGAGAAUGCUAACAGGACUGGGAUCUGAAACCUUCAGCACUAUUAGGGACUAGAAUUCACGCAUGAGUGCAUUUACUAGAUUAAAGGCCUUGACCCUGACAGAAGCUGGGGAAAUAAAAUAAGCGUUGCAUGUUUCUUAAGUCUUAAUCAAUCUUUAGCACUUCUGAGAAUCAAGUGAACACAGUAAUUCUCAUGUUACAGUUUAAUUCUUCUUUCUUCACAUGUAGGGAAAGGGAGGUAAGGAAGUUAAGUGACUUGCCAGAACAGGUAUUAGCAUGUAAGAAAUGCUGGCAUUUCAUUCAAGGCCCAUCACAGAUCACUCUCCUCUCUGAGUAGGUUUCCAGAAAUCCAAUUAUAUCUGGCAGAACUGAUAGGUUUAAAAUCUAAUUACAUUAGGAGGAAUGCAGUGCAGUGGAUGUAUUUUGUUAAGUCAUUUGAUGCCUCGCCUCAUAAAAUUAGCCUGCAAAACUGAAAUUCAAAUUAAUUCUACCCUAUAUAAAAAUACCCAAAGCUAGGAAUUGGGUGAACAACACAAAAAGCAGGUACUAAAAAAUGACAAUAGUGUGAGCUGGGGGUGGAUCCAGCAAAUAUUAGAUCAACACUGCAUUAUGCCUGCAGAUUAUAUUCAGAGUGGGAGGGGAAAAAAAGGUUAAAUGAGAGGGUUUAAAAUAACAGAAAUGGAUUCAAACUGUGUUAAAUAAAAACUGAGUAGAGACACAAAAAACAGGAAGAUCACUAGGAUGUAGUGAGAUAGUUAAGUUAGUAUGCUUGGCAAUACAAGAGAAUGACGAAACCAAAUGCACAGGGUUAUGUAUGCAGGAGAUCCAUGUUAGGCAGAGGAAGAUAGGAAUCUGUUCCAGUCCAGCGUGUUUGAAACACGCAUCAUCAUGUUGUGAAUUCAAAGGAGAGAGGAAUAAUCCAUGCUGGCACAGGAGUCACUGAAGAAUAAUGUUACAAAAUGGAGUGAAAUAAAACGUUUGUGAUGGAAAUCAAAUGAAACACCUUAAUAUUGGAUCCUGUGGCAGUGCUAAAAUUUGUCAUGGACCUGGUGAAAAUGUUAAGUAAGUCAGGAAAAGGGUGCUUACUCUUGUGUGGGAGAAACAGAGGGAGAUGGUUUGUUAUCUGGUUAGAUAUGCC
ensembl:lncRNA